rnacentral:rRNA from 1 species
UAGGGAAUCUUCCACAAUGGACGCAAGUCUGAUGGAGCAACGCCGCGUGAGUGAAGAAGGCUUUCGGGUCGUAAAACUCUGUUAUUGAAGAAGAACGUGUGUGACAGUAACUGGUCAUGCAGUGACGGUAUUCAAUCAGAAAGUCACGGCUAACUACGUGCCAGCAGCCGCGGUAAUACGUAGGUGGCAAGCGUUGUCCGGAUUUAUUGGGCGUAAAGCGAGUGCAGGCGGUCUUUUAAGUCUGAUGUGAAAGCCUUCGGCUUAACCGAAGAAGGGCAUCGGAAACUGGGAGACUUGAGUGCAGAAGAGGAGAGUGGAACUCCAUGUGUAGCGGUGAAAUGCGUAGAUAUAUGGAAGAACACCAGUGGCGAAGGCGGCUCUCUGGUCUGUAACUGACGCUGAGGCUCGAAAGCGUGGGUAGCAAACAGGAUUAGAUACCCU